rnacentral:rRNA from 1 species
UUGUUGGGUGACUGCGUACCUUUUGUAUAAUGGGUCAGCGACUUAUAUUCAGUGGCGAGCUUAACCGAAUAGGGGAGGCGUAGCGAAAGCGAGUCUUAAUAGGGCGUUUAGUCGCUGGGUAUAGACCCGAAACCGGGCGAUCUAUCCAUGAGCAGGUUGAAGGUUAGGUAACACUGACUGGAGGACCGAACCCACUCCCGUUGAAAAGGUAGGGGAUGACUUGUGGAUCGGAGUGAAAGGCUAAUCAAGCUCGGAGAUAGCUGGUUCUCCUCGAAAGCUAUUUAGGUAGCGCCUCACGUAUCACUCCAGGGGGUAGAGCACUGUUUCGGCUAGGGGGUCAUCCCGACUUACCAAACCGAUGCAAACUCCGAAUACCUGGAAGUGUCAGCGUGGGAGACACACGGCGGGUGCUAACGUCCGUCGUGAAAAGGGAAACAACCCAGACCGUCAGCUAAGGUCCCAAAGUUGUGGUUAAGUGGUAAACGAUGUGGGAAGGCUUAGACAGCUAGGAGGUUGGCUUAGAAGCAGCCACCCUUUAAAGAAAGCGUAAUAGCUCACUAGUCGAGUCGGCCUGCGCGGAAGAUGUAACGGGGCUCAAACCACACACCGAAGCUACGGGUGCAUCGCAAGAUGCGCGGUAGAGGAGCGUUCUGUAAGCCUGUGAAGGUGAGUUGAGAAGCUUGCUGGAGGUAUCAGAAGUGCGAAUGCUGACAUGAGUAACGACAAUGGGAGUGAAAAACUCCCACGCCGAAAGACCAAGGGUUCCUGCGCAACGUUAAUCGACGCAGGGUUAGUCGGCCCCUAAGGCGAGGCAGAAAUGCGUAGUCGAUGGGAAACAGGUUAAUAUUCCUGUACUUCUAGUUACUGCGAUGGAGGGACGGAGAAGGCUAGGCCAGCUUGGCGUUGGUUGUCCAAGUUUAAGGUUGUAGGC